UACAGAGGGUGCGAGCGUUAAUCGGAAUUACUGGGCGUAAAGCGUGCGUAGACGGUUAUUUAAGUCGGGUGUGAAAGCCCCGGGCUCAACCUGGGAAUUGCAUUCGAGACUGAAUAGCUAGGGUACGGUAGAGGGAAGUGGAAUUUCCGGUGUAGCGGUGAAAUGCGUAGAUAUCGGGAGGAACACCGGUGGCGAAGGCGGCGACCUGGGUAGAUACUGACGCUGAGGUGCGAAAGCGUGGGGAGCAAACAGG
rnacentral:rRNA from 1 species